GACGAACGCUGGCGGCGUGCUUAACACAUGCAAGUCGAGCGGAAAGGCCACUUCGGUGGUACUCGAGCGGCGAACGGGUGAGUAACACGUGAGUAAUCUGCCCCUGGCUUCGGGAUAGCCACCGGAAACGGUGAUUAAUACCGGAUAUGACCACGUCUCGCAUGGGGUGUGGUGGAAAGUUUUUCGGCCAGGGAUGUGCUCGCGGCCUAUCAGCUUGAUGGUGAGGUAAUGGCUCACCAUGGCUUCGACGGGUAGCCGGCCUGAGAGGGUGACCGGUCACACUGGGACUGAGACACGGCCCAGACUCCUACGGGAGGCAGCAGUGGGGAAUAUUGGACAAUGGGCGGAAGCCUGAUCCAGCAACGCCGCGUGAGGGAUGACGGCCUUCGGGUUGUAAACCUCUUUCAGUACCGACGAAGCGCAAGUGACGGUAGGUACAGAAGAAGCACCGGCCAACUACGUGCCAGCCGCCGCCGUAAUAC
rnacentral:rRNA from 1 species